GAUGAACGCUGGCGGCGUGCCUAACACAUGCAAGUCGAACGGAGUUGCUUUGAUGAAGUUUUCGGAUGGAUUUAAUUUAAUUCUAGUGGCGGACGGGUGAGUAACGCGUGGGUAACCUGCCUUAUACAGGGGGAUAACAGUCAGAAAUGGCUGCUAAUACCGCAUAAGCGCACAGAGCUGCAUGGCUCAGUGUGAAAAACUCCGGUGGUAUAAGAUGGACCCGCGUUGGAUUAGCUUGUUGGUGGGGUAACGGCCCACCAAGGCGACGAUCCAUAGCCGGCCUGAGAGGGUGAACGGCCACAUUGGGACUGAGACACGGCCCAGACUCCUACGGGAGGCGGCAGUGGGGAAUAUUGCACAAUGGGGGAAACCCUGAUGCAGCGACGCCGCGUGAAGGAAGAAGUAUCUCGGUAUGUAAACUUCUAUCAGCAGGGAAGAUAGUGACGGUACCUGACUAAGAAGCCCCGGCUAACUACGUGCCAGCCGCCGCAGUAA
rnacentral:rRNA from 1 species